GACGAACGCUGGCGGCGUGCCUAAUACAUGCAAGUCGAGCGAACCAAUAAGAAGCUUGCUUUUUGUUGGUUAGCGGCGGACGGGUGAGUAACACGUGGGUAACCUGCCUGUAAGACCGGGAUAACUCCGGGAAACCGGUGCUAAUACCGGAUAGAUUAUCUUUCCGCAUGGAGAGAUAAGGAAAGAUGGCUAUUGCCAUCACUUACAGAUGGGCCCGCGGCGCAUUAGCUAGUUGGUGAGGUAACGGCUCACCAAGGCGACGAUGCGUAGUCGACCUGAGAGGGUGAUCGGCCACACUGGGACUGAGACACGGCCCAGACUCCUACGGGAGGCAGCAGUAGGGAAUCUUCCGCAAUGGACGAAAGUCUGACGGAGCAACGCCGCGUGAGCGAAGAAGGUCUUCGGAUCGUAAAGCUCUGUUGUUAGGGAAGAACAAGUAUCGGAGGAAAUGCCGGUACCUUGACGGUACCUGACGAGAAAGCCACGGCUAACUACGUG
rnacentral:rRNA from 1 species